rnacentral:rRNA from 1 species
GCUGGCGGCGUGCCUAAUCAUGCUUUUCGAGCGAACUGAAUUAGAAGCUUGCUUCUCUGACGUUAGCGGCGGACGGGUGAGUAACACGUGGGCAACCUGCCUGUAAGACUGGGAUAACUUCGGGAAACCGAAGCUAAUACCGGAUAGGAUCUUCUCCUUCAUGGGAGAUGAUUGAAAGAUGGUUUCGGCUAUCACUUACAGAUGGGCCCGCGGUGCAUUAGCUAGUUGGUGAGGUAACGGCUCACCAAGGCAACGAUGCAUAGCCGACCUGAGAGGGUGAUCGGCCACACUGGGACUGAGACACGGCCCAGACUCCUACGGGAGGCAGCAGUAGGGAAUCUUCCGCAAUGGACGAAAGUCUGACGGAGCAACGCCGCGUGAGUGAUGAAGGCUUUCGGGUCGUAAAACUCUGUUGUUAGGGAAGAACAAGUACAAGAGUAACUGCUNGUACCUUGACGGUACCUAACCAGAAAGCCACGGCUAACUACGUGCCAGCAGCCGCGGUAAUACGUAGGUGGCAAGCGUUAUCCGGAAUUAUUGGGCGUAAAGCGCGCGCAGGCGGUUUCUUAAGUCUGAUGUGAAAGCCCACGGCUCAACCGUGGAGGGUCAUUGGAAACUGGGGAACUUGAGUGCAAAAAAGAAAGCGGAAUUCCCCGUGUACGGUAAAUGCUAAAGAUGGGGAAGAACACCAUUGCAAAGGGUUUUUUGCCCUGAACCGACCCUAAGGCG